rnacentral:rRNA from 1 species
UACGGAGGGGGCGAGCGUUAUUCGGAAUUAUUGGGCGUAAAGGGCGCGUAGGCGGCUUGAUGUGUCAAAGGUGAAAUCCCUCGGCUCAACUGAGGAACUGCCUUUGAAACUGUCUGGCUUGAGGCCGGGAGAGGGUAGCGGAAUUCCCAGUGUAGCGGUGAAAUGCGUAGAUACUGGGAGGAACACCGGUGGCGAAGGCGGCUACCUGGACCGGUUCUGACGCUGAGGCACGAAAGCGUGGGGAGCAAACAGG